rnacentral:pre_miRNA from 1 species
AAUGGGAUAGCUGGGUAAAAUGGUGGUUCCAUUCCAAGUUUUCUAAGGAAUCUCCAUACUGCUUUCCAAUUGGUUGUACCAAGUUGCAGUCCCACCAGCAAU